rnacentral:rRNA from 1 species
GUACGGGAGGCAGCAGCAAGGAAUAUUGUGCAAUGGGCGAAAGCCUGACACAGCGACACCGCGUGGAGGAAGAAGGCCUUCGGGUUGUAAACUCCUUUUAUCAGGGACGAAUAAUGACGGUACCUGAUGAAUAAGCCACGGCUAACUACGUGCCAGCAGCCGCGGUAAGACGUAGGUGGCAAGCGUUAUCCGGAUUUACUGGGCGUAAAGAGCGCGUAGGCGGCUUGACAAGUCAGAUAUAAAAUCUCCUGGCUUAACUGGGAGGGGCUAUCUGAUACUGUCAGGCUAGAGUGCAUCAGAGGGAGAUGGAAUUCCCGGUGUAGUGGUGAAAUGCGUAGAUAUCGGGAGGAACACCAGUGGCGAAAGCGGUCUCCUGGGGUGUUACUGACGCUGAGGCGCGAAAGUGUGGGGAGCGAACAGGAUUAGAUACCCCGGU